CAAUGGGGGGAACCCUGAUCCAGCCAUGCCGCGUGUGUGAAGAAGGCCUUUUGGUUGUAAAGCACUUUAAGUGGGGAGGAGGCUUACCUGGUUAAUACCUGGGCUAAGUGGACGUUACCCACAGAAUAAGCACCGGCUAACUCUGUGCCAGCAGCCGCGGUAAUACAGAGGGUGCGAGCGUUAAUCGGAUUUACUGGGCGUAAAGCACGCGUAGGUGGUUAAUUAAGUCAAAUGUGAAAUCCCCGAGCUUAACUUGGGAAUUGCAUUCGAUACUGGUUAGCUAGAGUAUGGGAGAGGAUGGUAGAAUUCCAGGUGUAGCGGUGAAAUGCGUAGAGAUCUGGAGGAAUACCGAUGGCGAAGGCAGCCAUCUGGCCUAAUACUGACACUGAGGUGCGAAAGCAUGGGGAGCAAACAGGAUUAGAUACCCUGGUAGUCCAUGCCGUAAACGAUGUCUACUAGCCGUUGGGGGAUUUGAUCCUUUAGUGGCGCAGCUAACGCGAUAAGUAGACCGCCUGGGGAGU
rnacentral:rRNA from 1 species